rnacentral:rRNA from 1 species
GUCUACAGCCAUACUACCCUGAACGCACCCGAUCUCAUCUGAUCUCAGAAGCUAAGCAGGGUUGGGCCUGGUUAGUACUUGGAUGGGAGAUAAGUGCCCUUAUCAAUGUACAUU